CAACGUUGGUGGAACGUCGCCAAUCAACGUUCCUUAUCCACGUUGUAGGAACGUUAUAUGCUGACAUUGCCGCCACGUUGGUUAAACGUUGCCGUUUAACGUUCCUUCUCCACGUUGUGGGAACGUUUUAUGCUGACAUUGUCGCAACGUUGGUUAAAUGUUGCUGAUUAACGUUUCUUAUCCACGUUGUAGGAACGUUUUAUGCUGACAUUGCCGCAACGUUCGAUAAAAAAUAAUUUUUCGUUGCGGCAAUGUUAUAUUUUAACGUCGCAGUAACGUUGCCUUACGACGUUCGGCUACAAGUGAUUCAACGUUACAAAAACAUUGCUUAUGAACGUCGCUGCAACGUUGAAACUCAACUUUCGCAAGUGGCAUAUAUAUAAAUGAAAUGAUAAAGAAAUUAUUAAUUUAGCAAAGAUCGCAUCAGUAUGUAGCUAUAUCUCAUGCUCCCUGAUGAUGGCUCGAUCUGAAAGAGAGUUGAUAGAAUUUCUCGUGCGGAUAUAUAAUGAUAAAUAUAUUUGAACUUGACAGUUGCCUUGAGUAAAGUUUAAUUUCAGCGACCUCGUGUGUAUCAUAUGUAGGCCUAAAUAAGGCUAAGAUUGUUUCAAUUUGCGCCGUUUUCAUAAUGAAAUCAUACGCCGGUAUCGUCUAAAGAGCAUGCAAGGCCGAAAUGGCAAUGACGGUAAAUAUGAUUUUAUACGGUUUUUUAAUUUAAAUUUUGAGACAUAAAAUGAGUUUUAAAAUGAAAUGUUUUGCCCCGGCUCUAUAUAAAAUAUAUAUAGUGUGUCGUGUGUCGACUUUGUGUUUGUUUGUCCAAAUUCCUGUUAUUUGAUACACGUGCAUUGACCGUCGGAAAGGUGGAUGGAAAGCAAUGAGUCCAAAUAUGGUCAUUAAUGCUAUAUACGGUUACUGAAAUAACUGAUUCGGUUGCUGGCGCCAACUGUCAUUGUGCUUGCGUCGAAGCGAACAAAACGUAUUGUGUGUAGACUAGCUUUUUCAAGAGGUAUAUUUUUCAAUUUGAGUACUCGUUUGUUUGUUUGGCAACUUUCUCGACGUCUACAACCGACUGCGUCUGUAUUAGCAGCAUUAUUGCAAAUUCUGUCUUCUGAGAUCUCUCGUGUGUUGGAUUGUUUGAUAAAGUAACAAUUCAAGUCUUAUGUAAAGGAUCGCAAGAACAGGACAAAUCAAGCUUAGAAAUGAUUUAACACGUGCGAGAUGACAUUGUCUUUUCUGAUUUCUCAUAUUUCUAUCGCCAUAUAUACUGUACCUAUGAUUUAUCAAUAUUCGGAAUAUACAGCUGAUUCAAAUAAGGUUGUCCUUUCACAACCUUAAACGGUAAACUUUGAGCGCGCCUAUUAACCUUAAACACAAAAUAAUUAAAUUGCCUUUCAGCAAGUAUGCUUUAAAAAAUCCGUCGUGAGUCUUCUAUGUCUUGCCGGGGUAUUAUUGCAGUCUAAAUAGUCUAAAUAUGCAAAGAACCAUCAUCCGUUGAGCGUUCAAGGUCUAACGUUUAUGGUUAUAGAAGGACAACGUUAAUUGAAUCAGCUGUAAGUAAAUAAGAUAGUGUAAUUGUUGUAAAUCAAACGAUUUUCCAAAUACAGGUAUUACACCGAACACUUUGUUUUAAACUCGUUUAUUUACGCCUUUCAGUAACAAUGUUUUGUCAACAUAUUCGUUGCAAGAACCUGCCACGAUUUUAUGCUGGCGAAUUUUAGAAGUUAAUUUGGCUGUUUAUAUUCUUACAACGUUAAUUCCAGAGGUUUUCUGGACGUUAAACGA